rnacentral:rRNA from 1 species
AAUUGGAGGGCAAGUCUGGUGCCAGCAGCCGCGGUAAUUCCAGCUCCAAUAGCGUAUAUUAAAGUUGUUGCAGUUAAAAAGCUCGUAGUUGAAUUUCGGGACUGACAGGUUGGUCGCGCCUUCGGUGUGUACUGGCCUAGUCGGUUUCUCCCUUCUGACGAACCACGAUGUCAUUAAUUUGGUGUCGUGGGGAAUCAGGACUGUUACUUUGAAAAAAUUAGAGUGUUUAAAGCAGGCUUAGGCUUGAAUACAUUAGCAUGGAAUAAUGAAAUAGGACGUUUGACCCUAUUUUGUUGGUUUCUAGGAUCGACGUAAUGAUUAAUAGGGAUAGUUGGGGGCAUUAGUAUUCAAUUGUCAGAGGUGAAAUUCUUGGAUUUAUUGAAGACUAACUACUGCGAAAGCAUUUGCCAAGGAUGUUUUCAUUAAUCAAGAACGAAAGUUAGGGGAUCGAAGACGAUCAGAUACCGUCGUAGUCUUAACCAUAAACUAUGCCGACUAGGGAUCGGAUGAUGUUAAUUUUAUAAUGACUCAUUCGGCGCCUUACGGGAAACCAAAGUGU